rnacentral:rRNA from 1 species
GUGGGGAAUCUUGCGCAAUGGGCGAAAGCCUGACGCAGCCAUGCCGCGUGAAUGAUGAAGGUCUUAGGAUUGUAAAAUUCUUUCACCGGGGACGAUAAUGACGGUACCCGGAGAAGAAGCUCCGGCUAACUUCGUGCCAGCAGCCGCGGUAAGACGAGGGAUCCUAGCGUUGCUCGGAAUCAUUGGGCGUAAAGAGGGCGUAGGUGGCUUGGUAAGUCAGGUGUGAAAGCCCAGGGCUCAACCCUGGAAGUGCAUUUGAUACUGCUGAGCUUGAGUGUCGGAGAGGUUACCGGAAUACCUGGUGUAGUGGUGAAAUACGUAGAUAUCAGGUGGAACACCGGAGGCGAAGGCGGGUAACUGGACGAACACUGACACUGAGGCCCGAAAGCGUGGGGAUCAAACAGGAUUAGAAACCCCAGUAGUCC